rnacentral:rRNA from 1 species
UACGUAGGGGGCAAGCGUUGUCCGGAAUCAUUGGGCGUAAAGAGCGUGUAGGCGGCUCGAUAAGUCCGCUCUGAAAGCCCGGGGCUCAACCCCGGGAGGCGGGCGGAUACUGUCGAGCUAGAGUCCGGAAGAGGCGAGUGGAAUUCCUGGUGUAGCGGUGAAAUGCGCAGAUAUCAGGAGGAACACCAAUGGCGAAGGCAGCUCGCUGGGACGGUACUGACGCUGAGGCACGAAAGCUAGGGGAGCAAACAGG